AUUGAACGCUGGCGGCAGGCCUAACACAUGCAAGUCGAGCGGGGUUUUCGGACCUAGCGGCGGACGGGUGAGUAAUGCGUAGGAAGCUGCCCGAUAGAGGGGGAUACCAGUUGGAAACGACUGUUAAUACCGCAUAAUGUCUACGGACCAAAGUGUGGGACCUUCGGGCCACAUGCUAUCGGAUGCGCCUACGUGGGAUUAGCUAGUUGGUGAGGUAAUGGCUCACCAAGGCGACGAUCUCUAGCUGGUUUGAGAGGAUGAUCAGCCACACUGGAACUGAGACACGGUCCAGACUCCUACGGGAGGCAGCAGUGGGGAAUAUUGGACAAUGGGCGCAAGCCUGAUCCAGCCAUGCCGCGUGUGUGAAGAAGGCCUUCGGGUUGUAAAGCACUUUCAGCGAGGAGGAAGGGGUGUGUGCUAAUAGUACACACCUUUGACGCUACUCGCAGAAGAAGCACCGGCUAACUCUGUGCCAGCCGCCGCAGUAACAC
rnacentral:rRNA from 1 species